AUUGAACGCUGGCGGCAGGCCUAACACAUGCAAGUCGAACGGUAACAGGAAGAAGCUUGCUUCUUUGCUGACGAGUGGCGGACGGGUGAGUAAUGUCUGGGAAACUGCCUGAUGGAGGGGGAUAACUACUGGAAACGGUAGCUAAUACCGCAUAACGUCGCAAGACCAAAGAGGGGGACCUUCGGGCCUCUUGCCAUCGGAUGUGCCCAGAUGGGAUUAGCUAGUAGGUGGGGUAACGGCUCACCUAGGCGACGAUCCCUAGCUGGUCUGAGAGGAUGACCAGCCACACUGGAACUGGGACACGGUCCAGACUCCUACGGGAGGCAGCAGUGGGGAAUAUUGCACAAUGGGCGCAAGCCUGAUGCAGCCAUGCCGCGUGGAUGAAGAAGGCCUUCGGGUUGUAAAGUACUUUCAGCGGGGAGGAAGGGAGUAAAGUUAAUACCUUUGCUCAUUGACGUUACCCGCAGAAGAAGCACCGGCUAACUCCGUG
rnacentral:rRNA from 1 species